AGUCGAACGGUAGCACAGAGAGCUUGCUCUCGGGUGACGAGUGGCGGACGGGUGAGUAAUGUCUGGGAAACUGCCUGAUGGAGGGGGAUAACUACUGGAAACGGUAGCUAAUACCGCAUAACGUCGCAAGACCAAAGAGGGGGACCUUCGGGCCUCUUGCCAUCAGAUGUGCCCAGAUGGGAUUAGCUAGUAGGUGGGGUAACGGCUCACCUAGGCGACGAUCCCUAGCUGGUCUGAGAGGAUGACCAGCCACACUGGAACUGAGACACGGUCCAGACUCCUACGGGAGGCAGCAGUGGGGAAUAUUGCACAAUGGGCGCAAGCCUGAUGCAGCCAUGCCGCGUGUAUGAAGAAGGCCUUCGGGUUGUAAAGUACUUUCAGCGGGGAGGAAGGUGUUGUGGUUAAUAACCACAGCAAUUGACGUUACCCGCAGAAGAAGCACCGGCUAACUCCGUGCCAGCAGCCGCGGUAAUACGGAGGGUGCAAGCGUUAAUCGGAAUUACUGGGCGUAAAGCGCACGCAGGCGGUCUGUCAAGUCGGAUGUGAAAUCCCCGGGCUCAACCUGGGAACUGCAUUCGAAACUGGCAGGCUGGAGUCUUGUAGAGGGGGGUAGAAUUCCAGGUGUAGCGGUGAAAUGCGUAGAGAUCUGGAGGAAUACCGGUGGCGAAGGCGGCCCCCUGGACAAAGACUGACGCUCAGGUGCGAAAGCGUGGGGAGCAAACAGGAUUAGAUACCCUGGUAGUCCACGCCGUAAACGAUGUCGAUUUGGAGGUUGUGCCCUUGAGGCGUGGCUUCCGGAGCUAACGCGUUAAAUCGACCGCCUGGGGAGUACGGCCGCAAGGUUAAAACUCAAAUGAAUUGACGGGGGCCCGCACAAGCGGUGGAGCAUGUGGUUUAAUUCGAUGCAACGCGAAGAACCUUACCUGGUCUUGACAUCACAGAACUUUCCAGAGAUGGAUUGGUGCCUUCGGGAACUGUGAAACAGGUGCUGCAUGGCUGUCGUCAGCUCGUGUUGUGAAAUGUUGGGUUAAGUCCCGCAACGAGCGCAACCUUAUCCUUUGUUGC
rnacentral:rRNA from 1 species